GUCCCGCCUGCCCAGUGACUCUUUAAACGGCCGCGGUAUCCUAACCGUGCAAAGGUAGCAUAAUCACUUGUCCCCUAAAUCGGGACUAGAAUGAAUGGGUAAAUGAGGACUAAACUGUCUCUUACGGACUGACCAAUGAAAUUGAUUUCCCAGUACAAAAGCUGGGAUAUACUCAUAAGACGAGAAGACCCUGUGGAGCUUCAAAACCAAACCAUCCAGCAUGCUCCUUGGAUUUUUAGUUGGGGCGACUUCGGAAUAUAAAAAAACUUCCAAAAAAUGAAAUAAUUUAUUAAGGUUAACACACCAAAAUUAGCCCAUUAGACCCAGCAACUAACUGUUUGUCUGAUUAAUGAACCAAGUUACCCCAGGGAUAACAGCGCAAUCUCCUUUUAGAGUCCAUAUCGACAAGGGGGUUUACGACCUCGAUGUUGGAUCAGGACACCCCAAUGGUGCAGCCGCCAUUAAAGGUUCGUUUGUUCAACGAUUAAUAGUCCUACGUGAUCUGAGUUCAGACCGGA
rnacentral:rRNA from 1 species